rnacentral:tRNA from 1 species
GUCAUUGUAGUGUAGUGGUGAGUAUUCCUGCCUGUCACGUGGGUGACCCAAGUUCGAUCCCUGGAAAUGGUG